UACGUAGGGUGCGAGCGUUAAUCGGAAUUACUGGGCGUAAAGCGUGCGCAGGCGGUUUUGUAAGCCAGAUGUGAAAUCCCCGGGCUUAACCUGGGAACUGCGCUUGUAACUGAGAGGCUAGAGUGUGGCAGAGGGGGGUGGAAUUCCACGUGUAGCAGUGAAAUGCGUAGAUAUGUGGAGGAACACCGAUGGCGAAGGCAGCCCCCUGGGCUAACACUGACGCUCAUGCACGAAAGCGUGGGGAGCAAACAGG
rnacentral:rRNA from 1 species